GGCCUCGUGGUCAAAUGGUAAUGACACUUGACUACCACUCUGGAGCCCCGCGUUCGAUCCCCGGUCGAAGAGCUA